rnacentral:rRNA from 1 species
GAUGAACGCUGGCGGCGUGCCUAAUACAUGCAAGUCGAGCGAACGGACGAGAAGCUUGCUUCUCUGAUGUUAGCGGCGGACGGGUGAGUAACACGUGGAUAACCUACCUAUAAGACUGGGAUAACUUCGGGAAACCGGAGCUAAUACCGGAUGAUAUUUUGAACCGCAUGGUUCAAAAGUGAAAGACGGUCUUGCUGUCACUUAUAGAUGGAUCCGCGCUGCAUUAGCUAGUUGGUAAGGUAACGGCUUACCAAGGCAACGAUGCAUAGCCGACCUGAGAGGGUGAUCGGCCACACUGGAACUGAGACACGGUCCAGACUCCUACGGGAGGCAGCAGUAGGGAAUCUUCCGCAAUGGGCGAAAGCCUGACGGAGCCACGCCGCGUGAGUGAUGAAGGUCUUCGGAUCGUAAAACUCUGCUAUUAGGGAAGAACAUAUGUGUAAGUAACUGUGCACAUCUUGACGGUACCUAAUCAGAAAGCCACGGCUAACUACGUG